AAAUUGAAGAGUUUGAUCAUGGCUCAGAUUGAACGCUGGCGGCAGGCCUAACACAUGCAAGUCGAACGGUAACAGGAAUCAGCUUGCUGAUUCGCUGACGAGUGGCGGACGGGUGAGUAAUGUCUGGGAAACUGCCUGAUGGAGGGGGAUAACUACUGGAAACGGUAGCUAAUACCGCAUAACGUCGCAAGACCAAAGAGGGGGACCUUCGGGCCUCUUGCCAUCGGAUGUGCCCAGAUGGGAUUAGCUAGUAGGUGGGGUAAAGGCUCACCUAGGCGACGAUCCCUAGCUGGUCUGAGAGGAUGACCAGCCACACUGGAACUGAGACACGGUCCAGACUCCUACGGGAGGCAGCAGUGGGGAAUAUUGCACAAUGGGCGCAAGCCUG
rnacentral:rRNA from 1 species